rnacentral:rRNA from 1 species
GACGUAGGGUGCGAGCGUUGUCCGGAUUUAUUGGGCGUAAAGAGCUCGUAGGCGGCUCGUCGCGUCAGCUGUGAAAACCCGCAGCUUAACUGUGGGCUUGCAGCUGAUACGGGCGGGCUAGAGUUCGGUAGGGGAGACUGGAAUUCCUGGUGUAGCGGUGAAAUGCGCAGAUAUCAGGAAGAACACCAGUGGCGAAGGCGGGUCUCUGGACAGUUCCUGACACUGAGGCACGAAGGCCAGGGGAGCAAACGGG